AUCCGUCGCGGUCCCUCCUUUGAGGCCCCUCCACUUCCGGAGAUCGCCUCAGCGUGGUCCCAGAGAGAAGGGGGAAGGGCCUUAAUCACGCCAGCGACGAGGCGACCAAUGAUGGCUGAGAUGGGCGUGUUGUGGAAGUCGGGGGCUCAGGCCUCACCCCGCCCUUGAAAGAUAAGGGAAAGGGUAUUCCGUGCUGGUGCUUGUGUUGCUGUUCUAACUAUGGAUGUCCUCAAAUGGUCCUGUUUGCCCACAGUUUUAUUGGGUGAGAAUCACGAUUUCUGAUCGUAUUUAGCUUCAAAAACUGUGAAGUAUCUAUUACGGGUUAACCUGCUGUUUUUAAGCACUGUGUCAUCGUGGACAAACUGGGCUGAUUCUUGGACCUGGAUAGGAAGAGUAUUGAAGAAAUCCUGCUGGUCAGAGGGGAUAAGCUGUGCUGAGCGGCUGGCGAUGGGGCCCUAGAGCUGGUUGGGAACCCCAAAUCCACUGCUGCUCCAGAAGGGGGUGAGGACGAGGAUCUCACUUAUCCUGGCAAGGUGGAGCUCAGAUGACCCUAACUUUUGCCUUCGAGAAGAUCCUUCAGCCACAAGCCCUUCUAGACUUGCCUGUUUUCUAGCAAUAAAAAGAUAUCCCUUGGAAAUAGAAAGCAAUAAUUUGAUUCUCUCUCAUGGUUCUGAGGCCUGCCUGGUUCAUCUAG